rnacentral:rRNA from 1 species
GAGUUUGAUCCUGGCUCAGAACGAACGCUGGCGGCGUGCUUAACACAUGCAAGUCGAACGAGAUACCGGAGCUUGCUCCGGUGGAAAGUGGCGAACGGGUGAGUAACACGUGAGAAAUCUGUCCUAGAGACCGGGACAACCAUCGGAAACGAUGGCUAAUACCGGAUACCCUCAGACGGCCGCAUGGUCGAGUGAGGAAAUGCUCAGGUGCUCUAGGAGGAUCUCGCGGCCUAUCAGCUAGUUGGUGGGGUAACGGCCUACCAAGGCAUCGACGGGUAGCUGGUCUGAGAGGACGAUCAGCCACACUGGGACUGAGACACGGCCCAGACUCCUACGGGAGGCAGCAGUGGGGAAUAUUGCGCAAUGGGCGAAAGCCUGACGCGGCAACGCCGCGUGAGGGAUGACGGCUUUCGGGUUGUAAACCUCUUUCAGUGAUGACGAAAAUGACGGUAGUCACAGAAGAAGCUCCGGCCAACUACGUGCCAGCAGCCGCGGUAACACGUAGGGAGCGAGCGUUGUCCGGAUUUAUUGGGCGUAAAGAGCUCGUAGGCGGUUUCGUAAGUCGGAUGUGAAAACUCAGGGCUCAACCCUGAGACGCCAUCUGAUACUGCGAUGACUAGAGUCCGGUAGAGGAGCAUGGAAUUCCUGGUGUAGCGGUGGAAUGCGCAGAUAUCAGGAGGAACACCAACGGCGAAGGCAGUGCUCUGGGCCGGUACUGACGCUGAGGAGCGAAAGCAUGGGGAGCAAACAGGAUUAGAUACCCUGGUAGUC